GCAAACAGGAUUAGAUACCCUGGUAGUCCACGCCCUAAACGAUGUCUACUAGUUGUUGGGUCUUAAUUGACUUAGUAACGCAGCUAACGCGUGAAGUAGACCGCCUGGGGAGUACGGUCGCAAGAUUAAAACUCAAAGGAAUUGACGGGGACCCGCACAAGCGGUGGAUGAUGUGGAUUAAUUCGAUGCAACGCGAAAAACCUUACCUACCCUUGACAUGGCAGGAAUCCCGGAGAGAUUUGGGAGUGCUCGAAAGAGAACCUGCACACAGGUGCUGCAUGGCUGUCGUCAGCUCGUGUCGUGAGAUGUUGGGUUAAGUCCCGCAACGAGCGCAACCCUUGUCAUUAGUUGCUACGCAAGAGCACUCUAAUGAGACUGCCGGUGACAAACCGGAGGAAGGUGGGGAUGACGUCAAGUCCUCAUGGCCCUUAUGGGUAGGGCUUCACACGUCAUACAAUGGUACAUACAGAGGGCCGCCAACCCGCGAGGGGGAGCUAAUCCCAGAAAGUGUAUCGUAGUCCGGAUUGUAGUCUGCAACUCGACUACAUGAAGUUGGAAUCGCUAGUAAUCGCGGAUCAGCAUGUCGCGGUGAAUACGUUCCCGGGUCUUGUACACACCGCCCGUCACACCAUGGGAGCGGGUUUUACCAGAAGUAGGUAGCUUAACCGCAAGGAGGGCGCUUACCACGGUAGGAUUCGUGACUGGGGUGAAGUCGUAACAAGGUAACCA
rnacentral:rRNA from 1 species